rnacentral:rRNA from 1 species
AAUCAACGCUGGCGGCGUGCCUCAGACAUGCAAGUCGAACGCGAAAGUUUCCUUCGGGAAGCGAGUAGAGUGGCGUCCGGGUGAGUAACACGUAGGUAAUCUACCUUUGGGUGGGGAAUAACAACCGGAAACGGUUGCUAAUACCGCAUAAUGCAGCGGCACCACAUGGUGACAGUUGUUAAAGCGGGGGAUCGCAAGACCUCGCGCCUAAAGAGGAGCCUGCGGCGGAUUAGCUAGNGGUAAGGUAACGGCUUACCAAGGCAACGAUCCGUAGCCGGCCUGAGAGGGGCGGUCGGCCACACUGACACUGAAAUACGGGUCAGACUCCUACGGGAGGCAGCAGUCGGGAAUUUUGGGCAAUGGGCGAAAGCCUGACCCAGCAACGCCGCGUGAAGGA